rnacentral:lncRNA from 1 species
GGUAUAUUGAGCAAAUUAACCGACCAUAUGUCGGUAGGAUCUAUGAGUGACCGUCGGCUAGUAGUUCAGUUAUGUCGAUAGUUUUAGUCAUCCGCUGUUGAUAGGCACUAGUCGAACAUUAGUCGGUCAACUGACCGUAAGUCGGUAUGAUUUGCUCAGUCGGUCAAUGAAGAGUCGGAACCGCAUGUUCAGUCCGUGUACUGUCGGAGUUGUGGUGACCAA